AUUUGUUAUAUAAUAAGAUUAAAGAUAAGUUAAUUUUAUAUAAAAAUGAGUAUAAAUGGAAGUGAUGUACGUAGUCCAUAUAUGACUGAUUUGUCUAAAUUUUUGUCCAUUGGAUAUAUGGGUCGGGUUAAAUUGGAGUUAAAGCGGAUAGAGAAGAGCACGAACCGACAGAUUACGUACUCAAAACGUAAAAAAGGUUUAAUAAAGAAGGCUUAUGAAUUGUCAACACUUUGUGAUAUCGAUCUUGCUCUCCUCAUGUUCUCUCCCUCCGAUCGCCUUUGUCUCUUUUCCGGUCAAAAAAGGAUCGAGGACGUUUUCGCGAGGUACAUCAAUCUUCCUGAUCAAGAAAGAGAGAAUGCCAUAGUUUUCCCCGAUCAAAGCAAACGCCAGCUAGGUAUUCAACACAAAGAGUAUCUAUUAAGAACUCUUGAACAACUCAAAACUCAAGAAGACAUGGCCCUCCAUAUUAACGAACCACGCCCUGUCCUCUCCGAUGUCGAGGCUCUUGAGCAAGAAGUUUGUAGAUUACAAGAACAGCUUCAAAUCUCAGAGGAAGAACUUAGGAAAUUCGAACCAGAUCCAGUGAGGUUUACAUCAAUGGAGGAGAUUGAAGCAUGUGAAGCUCAUCUCAUCAAUACCCUGACGCGUGUUGUUCAGAGAAGGGAACAUUUGUUGAACAAGUCAUGCAAAGCACCAAGUACCCAACAGAGCAUAGAAGGAAUCCCUAUAAACAACGUCGUAGAGGGAUGGUCUGUUGCUGAGCCCGAACAAGCCAAUAUGAUAGCCAGUUUAGCCCAUCAUUCCAAUCAGCUAAGCUAUGAUGAUCUGCUAUUGCAAGGGAGUUCACAGGGAAGAGAAAGCAGCUUUGUGCGGCGGUGAUGAAGUGGUGGUGGAAGCAUUAUCAGUAGAGCCCGUCUCACCCCAACCAAUGCCAAAGCAUACUCACCCAAAAACAGAAAUGCAUUGGGUCGUGCACUCUCCACCAGGUUUUAUGUGCUUCGUCACUUGCAAUCAUAGUGUUCCUGAAGCUAUAACCAGGGUUUGUUAUAGCCGAGGUAAUGAAGAACGUAGAGGAUUGGAGGAUCAGCUCCAAAUAGACUUAUCUCUAUGUUCUUAAUCACUCACACAGUGUCAUUCUCAGAGAUCAACAAGGCCUUUGAUUACAUGUUGAA